rnacentral:rRNA from 1 species
AUUGAACGCUGGCGGCAGGCUUAACACAUGCAAGUCGAACGAGUGGCGGAAGGGUGAGUAAUGCUUGGGAAUCUAGCUUAUGGAGGGGGAUAAAUACGGGAAACUGUCGCUAAUAACGCGUACCAUUGGAUGGGCCAACGGGUGAUUCGGUAGUUGGUGAGGUAAAGGCUAACCAAGCCGACGAUCUCUCGCUGGUCUGAGAGGAUGACCAGCCACACUGGUACUGAGACACGGCCCAGACUCCUACGGGAGGCAGCAGUGGGGAAUAUUGCGCAAUUGGGGCAACCUGACGCAGCCAUGCCGCGUGAAUGAAGAAGGCCUUCGGGUUGUAAAGUUCUUUCGGUAGCGAGGCGUUAACUACAGAAGAAGCACCGGCUAACUCCGUGCCAGCAGCCGCGGUAAUUC